rnacentral:rRNA from 1 species
GACGAACGCUGGCGGCGUGCUUAACACAUGCAAGUCGAACGAUGAAGCCUAGCUUGCUAGGUGGAUUAGUGGCGAACGGGUGAGUAAUACGUGAGUAACCUACCUUUAACUCUGGGAUAAGCCGGGGAAACUGGGUCUAAUACCGGAUACGACCAAUCUCCGCAUGGGGUGUUGGUGGAAAGCGUUAUGUAGUGGUUAUAGAUGGGCUCACGGCCUAUCAGCUUGUUGGUGAGGUAACGGCUCACCAAGGCGACGACGGGUAGCCGGCCUGAGAGGGUGACCGGCCACACUGGGACUGAGACACGGCCCAGACUCCUACGGGAGGCAGCAGUGGGGAAUAUUGCACAAUGGGCGCAAGCCUGAUGCAGCGACGCCGCGUGAGGGAUGACGGCCUUCGGGUUGUAAACCUCUGUUAGCAGGGAAGAAGAGAAAUUGACGGUACCUGCAGAGAAAGCGCCGGCUAACUACGUG